AUUGAACGCUGGCGGCAGGCCUAACACAUGCAAGUCGAGCGGAUGACGGGGGCUUGCUCCUGCAAUCAGCGGUGGACGGGUGAGUAAUGCUUAGGAAUCUGCCUGGUAGUGUGGGAUAACGUACGACAACGGGCGCUAAUACCUCAUACGUCCUGAGGGCGAAAGUGGGGGUUCUUCGGACAUCACGCUAUCAGAUUACAUUUGGUCGGAUUAUCUAGUUGGUGGGGUAAAGGCCAACCAAGGCGACGAUGCGUAACUGGUCUGAAAGGAUGAUCCGCAAAAUGGGAACUGAAAAACGGUCCGGACUCCUACGGAAGGCAGAAGUGGGAAAUAUUGGAAAAUGGGCAAAGGCCUGAGCAAGAACUGCCGCGUGGUGGAAGAAGGUCUUCGGAUUGUAAACCAUUUUAAGUGGGGAGGAAGGGCAGUAAGUGAAUACCUAGCUGUAUUGACGGUACCAAAAGAAUAAGCAACGGCUAACUUCGUG
rnacentral:rRNA from 1 species